AUUGAACGCUGGCGGCAGGCCUAACACAUGCAAGUCGAACGGUAACAGGAAGAAGCUUGCUUCUUUGCUGACGAGUGGCGGACGGGUGAGUAAUGUCUGGGAAACUGCCUGAUGGAGGGGGAUAACUACUGGAAACGGUAGCUAAUACCGCAUAACGUCGCAAGACCAAAGUGGGGGACCUUCGGGCCUCUUGCCAUCGGAUGUGCCCAGAUGGGAUUAGCUAGUAGGUGGGGUAACGGCUCACCUAGUCGACGAUCCCUAGCUGGUCUGAGAGGAUGACCAGCCACACUGGAACUGAGACACGGUCCAGACUCCUACGGGAGGCAGCAGUGGGGAAUAUUGCACAAUGGGCGCAAGCCUGAUGCAGCCAUGCCGCGUGUAUGAAGAAGGCCUUCGGGUGGUAAAGUACUUUCAGCGGGGAGGAAGGGAGUAAAGUUAAGACCUUUGCUCAUUGACGUUACCCGCAGAAGAAGCACCGGCUAACUCCGU
rnacentral:rRNA from 1 species